rnacentral:rRNA from 1 species
GACGAACGCUGGCGGCGUGCUUAACACAUGCAAGUCGAACGGAAAGGCCCUGCUUUUGUGGGGUGCUCGAGUGGCGAACGGGUGAGUAACACGUGAGUAACCUGCCCUUGACUUUGGGAUAACUUCAGGAAACUGGGGCUAAUACCGGAUAGGAGCUCCUGCUGCAUGGUGGGGGUUGGAAAGUUUCGGCGGUUGGGGAUGGACUCGCGGCUUAUCAGCUUGUUGGUGGGGUAGUGGCUUACCAAGGCUUUGACGGGUAGCCGGCCUGAGAGGGUGACCGGCCACAUUGGGACUAAGAUGCGGCCCAGACUCCUACGGGGGGCAGCAGUGGGGAAUAUUGCACAAUGGGCGGAAGCCUGAUGCAGCAACGCCGCGUGCGGGAUGACGGCCUUCGGGUUGUAAACCGCUUUCGCCUGUGACGAAGCGUGAGUGACGGUAAUGGGUAAAGAAGCACCGGCUAACUACGUG